AGAGUUUGAUCAUGGCUCAGAUUGAACGCUGGCGGCAGGCCUAACACAUGCAAGUCGAACGGUAACAGGAAGCAGCUUGCUGCUUUGCUGACGAGUGGCGGACGGGUGAGUAAUGUCUGGGAAACUGCCUGAUGGAGGGGGAUAACUACUGGAAACGGUGGCUAAUACCGCAUAACGUCGCAAGACCAAAGAGGGGGACCUUCGGGCCUCUUGCCAUCAGAUGUGCCCAGAUGGGAUUAGCUUGUUGGUGAGGUAACGGCUCACCAAGGCGACGAUCCCUAGCUGGUCUGAGAGGAUGACCAGCCACACUGGAACUGAGACACGGUCCAGACUCCUACGGGAGGCAGCAGUGGGGAAUAUUGCACAAUGGGCGCAAGCCUGAUGCAGCCAUGCCGCGUGUAUGAAGAAGGCCUUCGGGUUGUAAAGUACUUUCAGCGGGGAGGAAGGUGUUGUGGUUAAUAACCGCAGCAAUUGACGUUACCCGCAGAAGAAGCACCGGCUAACUCCGUGCCAGCAGCCGCGGUAAUACGGAGGGUGCAAGCGUUAAUCGGAAUUACUGGGCGUAAAGCGCACGCAGGCGGUCUGUCAAGUCGGAUGUGAAAUCCCCGGGCUCAACCUGGGAACUGCAUUCGAAACUGGCAGGCUUGAGUCUUGUAGAGGGGGGUAGAAUUCCAGGUGUAGCGGUGAAAUGCGUAGAGAUCUGGAGGAAUACCGGUGGCGAAGGCGGCCCCCUGGACAAAGACUGACGCUCAGGUGCGAAAGCGUGGGGAGCAAACAGGAUUAGAUACCCUGGUAGUCCACGCCGUAAACGAUGUCUACUUGGAGGUUGUGCCCUUGAGGCGUGGCUUCCGGAGCUAACGCGUUAAGUAGACCGCCUGGGGAGUACGGCCGCAAGGUUAAAACUCAAAUGAAUUGACGGGGGCCCGCACAAGCGGUGGAGCAUGUGGUUUAAUUCGAUGCAACGCGAAGAACCUUACCUGGUCUUGACAUCCACGGAAGAAUCCAGAGAUGGAUUUGUGCCUUCGGGAACCGUGAGACAGGUGCUGCAUGGCUGUCGUCAGCUCGUGUUGUGAAAUGUUGGGUUAAGUCCCGCAACGAGCGCAACCCUUAUCCUUUGUUGCCAGCGGUCCGGCCGGGAACUCAAAGGAGACUGCCAGUGAUAAACUGGAGGAAGGUGGGGAUGACGUCAAGUCAUCAUGGCCCUUACGACCAGGGCUACACACGUGCUACAAUGGCGCAUACAAAGAGAAGCGACCUCGCGAGAGCAAGCGGACCUCAUAAAGUGCGUCGUAGUCCGGAUUGGAGUCUGCAACUCGACUCCAUGAAGUCGGAAUCGCUAGUAAUCGUGGAUCAGAAUGCCACGGUGAAUACGUUCCCGGGCCUUGUACACACCGCCCGUCACACCAUGGGAGUGGGUUGCAAAAGAAGUAGGUAGCUUAACCUUCGGGAGGGCGCUUACCACUUUGUGAUUCAUGACUGGGGUGAAGUCGUAACAAGGUAACCGUAGGGGAACCUGCGGUUG
rnacentral:rRNA from 1 species